UGGGGAAUCUUGCGCAAUGGCCUAACGGCUGACGCAGCGACGCCGCGUGAGGGAUGAAGCUCCUCGGAGUGUAAACCUCUGUUGCUCGGGACGAAUGGCGCCUUUUGGCGACGUGACGGUACCGAGUGAGGAAGCACCGGCUAACUCCGUGCCAGCAGCCGCGGUAAUACGGGGGGUGCGAGCGUUGUCCGGAAUCACUGGGCGUAAAGGGCGCGUAGGUGGCGUCGUAAGUCUGUGGUGAAAGCCCGGAGCUCAACUCCGGGUCUGCCGCGGAUACUGCGAGGCUUGAGUGCUGUAGAGGGGGUAGAAUGCCGGGUGUAGCGGUGGAAUGCGUAGAGAUCCGGCAGAAGACCGGUGGCGAAGGCGGCCCCCUGGGCAGUAACUGACACUGAGGCGCGACAGCGUGGGGAGCAAACAGGAUUAGAUACCCUGGUAGUCCACGCCGUAAACGAUGGGCACUAGGUGCUUCGGGGAGCGACCCCUGGAGUGCCGUCGCUAACGCAUGAA
rnacentral:rRNA from 1 species